rnacentral:ribozyme from 1 species
AGAGAGAGAAAAAAACAUCAAUGGGUAGUUCUUUGACGGGAAAGUAAAAAGGGAAAAGAAAGUGUGUUUCUCUGAUUUGUUCGUUUCUUGCCGGUUAUCCUUGUACUCUUUGUUUUGGUUU